UACAGAGGUCCCAAGCGUUGUUCGGAUUCAUUGGGCGUAAAGGGUGCGUAGGCGGCGCGGUAAGUCGGGUGUGAAAUCCCCGGGCUCAACCUGGGAACUGCAUUUGUGACUGCAUGACUAGAGUACGGCAGAGGGGGAUGGAAUUCCGCGUGUAGCAGUGAAAUGCGUAGAUAUGCGGAGGAACACCGAUGGCGAAGGCAAUCCCCUGGGCCUGUACUGACGCUCAUGCACGAAAGCGUGGGGAGCAAACAGG
rnacentral:rRNA from 1 species